GAUGAACGCUGGCGGCGUGCCUAAUACAUGCAAGUCGAGCGAACAGACGAGGAGCUUGCUCCUCUGACGUUAGCGGCGGACGGGUGAGUAACACGUGGAUAACCUACCUAUAAGACUGGGAUAACUUCGGGAAACCGGAGCUAAUACCGGAUAAUAUAUUGAACCGCACGGUUCAAUAGUGAAAGACGGUUUUGCUGUCACUUAUAGAUGGAUCCGCGCCGCAUUGGCUAGUUGGUAAGGUAACGGCUUACCAAGGCAACGAUGCGUAGCCGACCUGCGAGGGUGAUCGGCCACACUGGAACUGAGACACGGUCCAGACUCCUACGGGAGGCAGCAGUAGGGAAUCUUCCGCAAUGGGCGAAAGCCUGACGGAGCAACGCCGCGUGAGUGAUGAAGGUCUUCGGAUCGUAAAACUCUGUUAUUAGGGAAGAACAAAUGUGUAAGUAACUAUGCACGUCUUGACGGUACCUAAUCAGAAAGCCACGGCUAACUACGUG
rnacentral:rRNA from 1 species